CUUUGUGGCACCAUGUGAGAAACAAUCCUGUGAGCAGACAGGACAGGCAGAGAGAGGCAAGGGGGCACUGAACAGCACAGGAAUGUGGACAUAAAGAAGCUGAAGGGCCCUCACAACACCCUGGCAUCAGUCUUAUAGGUAAGAUUAAAGAACAAAGUUAUGCAUUUUUGGGCCAAAGAGAGGACAAAAGGAACUUAGGAGUACCAAAAACCUGAAAUUAACUCUGAAGAACUCACCUUUGACUUCCAAAUGGGUAGACUCAGACACCAGCUCAUCUAGGAUCAUGUCAGCAGCUGUUGACAGUCUCUGGUGCUUCAGAUGAGGAAGACAAAAUCCAUUUUUUAAAUGCAAAGAUGAAAUAGCCACUCCAUUUUCUUAUUUUAAGUGUCUCUCAUUUCCCAUUUGAGCUGCAGCUCCCUGGAAUAAAAGCCAGCCUGGUGAUGGAGGCACAAGGCUCAGAGUCAGCUCUGGAUCCUGGCUCUGCCAGAUACUGGCAGUGUCACCUUCAAGCAUCACAAGCCAGGGGACGUGAGCACAGAACAAGCAGCUCCUCCGCACAUCCCUGAAUGCUCUGACAGCUUUCCAAGGAUUUCCUCUCCGGGUGGAACAGGGAGCACCAAGCAGAGGCACAGCUUCAAACCACCCACCUCCAGGAGCAGACACAUCUGGAAAAGCUGCGCUUUCAUUUUUUUAUGAAGCCUGAUUAUUAAUGUUUUGUAAAAUUCUCGGGGAUUCCUGGUAGGAAAAUUUUACCACCUGGUAGGUAUUAGACUCCUGUAAAUAUUUCCAAGCAGGGCACAGUUGCCAAAUGUUUGGGUUCAACUUUAACCAUUCUAAUGCUGGGCUGGAGGAAAAUUCUUAUAAACAACCAAAUAUUCUUGCUGUACAAAUGUUUUACACCACUUAUUUUUCUCGUUUCUGUCUCAAUAGCCCCACUGCUUCCUCUCCUUUAACUGGUCCUUGUAAUCAUGCAUUUAAACAUUUUUUGUCAAAUCUUCCUUCUCAAAUGCAGAAUUAAAGCACUGAUAUGCUGCAGAUAUGAGUUUCAAAGUCUUCACAUAUUUAACAUAAUUAAAGAAUCUUAGCAGUUUGUUCCAGUAUUGUCAUUUUAGCACUGUAUUGGCUUUUGACUACAUGAAGUGUUACACAGUACCCUAACUGCAGAAGGUCUGAGAUAAAUUACACCACUUGAACUUUUAAUAUAUUUACUCAGGCAGCAGCUUGAAGGAAAGUUCAUAGAAGCAAAUCUAUUAGGCAAAUUAGGGUUGUAACUUUUUGGCAGCUUCAUUUAAAUUAUUAGUCAAAAUUAGUGAAGCAAUUUAGUCCCAUUCAAAAUUAUGCAAGACCAAUAUGCAAAUAGAAGAGAGAGAGCUUUAGAAAUGUAGAACAAUUACUAUUUGAAUACACAGGUAUUUAAAUAAAUGCACCACAGAGAGACCAGCCAAUGACAGCUGGUUAUCCUACAGUGUAGGCUGGCUUUGAUCUCCAUGUUCCAUGAAUUUCUUUCCUUAUUUCAGCAGAACUUUUGACUUUUUCUCUGCCAAAGCAUCUAAAUGGCUGACUUCAGAGCAAACUUUUUCUUUUCCACAUGCUGAUACUUGAAUCAGAAAAUAUUAUUCUGAUUUUGUGUUGUAUUUGUGUAGGACACAAUUCUUCCUUACCUCUGUAUGCUGUGUUAAAAACAGAUUAGUAAAAUUGUUUGAUCAUUCAUGCUGAGUUCCUGGCAACAGCCUGUCAUACUGUAAAGAUAACUUUUCACUGAGUAUCUCUCCCAUAAGUGUUUCAGGAAGACAGGAGAAAAAAAUACAUAGAAUUGUAAUAAUUUCUCCAUGUUUAUGUCCAGUCUACAUGACC